GAUGAACACUAGCUACAGGCUUAACACAUGCAAGUCGCGGGGCAGCAUGGGGGUUGCUUGCAAUCCCCGAUGGCGACCGGCGCACGGGUGAGUAACGCGUAUCCAACCUGCCCUUCACCACGGGAUAACCCGGCGAAAGUCGGACUAAUACCGUAUGUUGUCCAUUGACGGCAUCCGAUUUGGACGAAAGGUUUGGCGGUGAAGGAUGGGGAUGCGUCCGAUUAGCUGGACGGCGGGGUGACGGCCCACCGUGGCGACGAUCGGUAGGGGUUCUGAGAGGAAGGUCCCCCACACUGGAACUGAGACACGGUCCAGACUCCUACGGGAGGCAGCAGUGAGGAAUAUUGGUCAAUGGGCGUAAGCCUGAACCAGCCAAGUAGCGUGCAGGAUGACGGCCCUAUGGGUUGUAAACUGCUUUUAUGCGGGGAUAAAGUGGCCCACGUGUGGGUUUUUGCAGGUACCGCAUGAAUAAGGACCGGCUAAUUCCGUG
rnacentral:rRNA from 1 species